UGGGGGAUAUUGCACAAUGGGCGAAAGCCUGAUGCAGCGACGCCGCGUGGGGGAUGAAGGCUUUCGGGUUGAAAACCUCUUUCGCUAUCGAACAAGGCCCGCUUAGGGUGGGUUGAGGGUAGGUGGAGAAGAAGCGCCGGCUAACUACGUGCCAGCAGCCGCGGUAAUACGUAGGGCGCGAGCGUUGUCCGGAAUUAUUGGGCGUAAAGGGCUUGUAGGCGGCUUGUUGCGCCUGCUGUGAAAACGCGGGGCUUAACUUCGCGCGUGCAGUGGGUACGGGCAGGCUUGAGUGUGGUAGGGGUGACUGGAAUUCCAGGUGUAGCGGUGGAAUGCGCAGAUAUCUGGAGGAACACCGAUGGCGAAGGCAGGUCACUGGGCCAUUACUGACGCUGAGGAGCGAAAGCAUGGGUAGCGAACAGG
rnacentral:rRNA from 1 species